rnacentral:misc_RNA from 1 species
GAUGAAGAACGCAGCGAAAUGCGAUAAGUAGUGUGAAUUGCAGAAUUCAGUGAAUCAUCGAAUCUUUGAACGCACAUUGCGCCCCUUGGUAUCCCAAGGGGCAUGCCUGUUCGAGCGUCAUUUCACCACUCAAGCCUGGCUUGGUGUUGGGCGACGUCCUCUUUGGGGACGCGCCUCGAAACGCUCGGCGGCGUGGCACCGGCUUUAAGCGUAGCAGAAUCUUUCGCUUUGGAAGUCGGGGCCCCGUCUGCCGGAAGACCUGCUCGCAAGGUUGACCUCGGAUCAGGCAGGGAUACCCGCUGAACUUAAGCAUAUCAAUAAGCGGAGGA